AUUUUUAUAGGUUUUAAGGAUGACCUUACCUGCUUCCUCAUUGCACAUGCCUCACAAACUUUGUCUUCCUUGAACUUGAUAUUAGGUGACCCUAUCACCAAGUCCUUGGAAACUAAUUUUUUUAAUUGAUUUAGACUAGCAUGACAAAUUCUUUUCUGCAAAAGGAGGGGAUCAUUAAUUAACACACUCAGAGAAGUGAGUUUAUUU
rnacentral:lncRNA from 1 species